UACAGAGGGUGCAAGCGUUGCUCGGAAUCAUUGGGCGUAAAGCGCACGUAGGCGGUCGGCUAUGUCGGAUGUGAAAGCCUCGGGCUUAACCCGAGAAGGGCAUCCGAAACUGGCCGGCUUGAGUACGGAAGAGGGUCUCGGAAUUCCCGGUGUAGAGGUGAAAUUCGUAGAUAUCGGGAGGAACACCAGUGGCGAAGGCGGAGACCUGGGCCGAUACUGACGCUGAGGUGCGAAAGCGUGGGGAGCAAACAGG
rnacentral:rRNA from 1 species